CCUACGUGUGGCAGCAGUGAGGAAUAUUGGUCAAUGGACGAGAGUCUGAACCAGCCAAGUAGCGUGAGGGAUGACUGCCCAAAGUGUUGUAAACUUCUUUUGUAAAGGAAUAAAACGAGGCACGUGUGCCUGUUUGAGUGUACUUUAUGAAAAAGGAUCGGCUAACUCCGUGCCAGCAGCCGCGGUAAUACGGAGGAUCCGAGCGUUAUCCGGGUUUAUUGGGUUUAAAGGGAGCGUCGAUGGGUUGUUAAGUCAGGUGUGAAAGUUCGCGGCUCAACCGUAAAAUUGCAAUUGAUACUGGCAGUCUCGAGUACAGGUGAGGUAGGCGGAAUGCGUGGUGUAGCGGUGAAAUGCUUAGAUAUCACGAAGAACCCCGAUUGCGAAGGCAGCUUACUAAACUGUGACUGACAUUGAUGCUCGAAAGUGUGGGUAUCAAACAGGAGUAGAUACCCCUGUAGUC
rnacentral:rRNA from 1 species